ACAAGCUACCCAACCGGCGGCUUGAAGAUUGAAAAACGACCAGGAGGGGAGAAGAUAAUUGUCCAAGGAUACCCAAUUUCAGGAAAAAAAACCGGAUUUUCUAUUGUUAUCUCUUGUACGAAACAUAUGGCCGAUGCAAGGAAAGACUCGACGAGUAGCCACCAACACGAGGGCAGACGUGGACCUUUUAACAGCUCUUUUCUUAUUGACAUCAGCGAGACUUUCAAGAUUACAAUUUUUACCAAUCUACAUACACACACGGUAAGUGUAGACAACGAAUAUAGCUACAGCAUAGGUAACAACAUGGAUUGUUAUGACCACAUUGAAUUUACUGGUGAUGUCAAAAUUAUUAAAGUUUUAAUGUCAUGAAGAAUGUAAUGAGCACGUUAAUUUUACUGUUGAUGUCAAAAUUAUAACAGUUUUAUUGUCAUGAAAAGUACAAUGAGCAAGUUAAUUUUACUGAUGAUGUCAAAAUUAUUAAAGUUUUAAUGUCAUGAAGAAUGUAAUGAGCACGUUAAUUUUACUGUUGAUGUCAAAAUUAUAAAUGUUUUAAUGUCAUGAAGAGUGCAAUGAGCAAGUUAAUUUUACUGAUGAUGUCAAAAUUAUUAAAGUUUUAAUGUCAUGAAGAGUGUUAUGAAUAUCCCCGAGGCAUUCUGUUUAGUGCAGAUU